AAAAGGUCCUCGUCUGAGCCAAGCGACGGGCGCCGUCGUCUCGCGAGACGAUGACGCGGGCUCGUGCUCCAACACCCGGCAACGACCUCCACGCCCCGUUGUACGAUCCAUCCGCGUACCUCCGGAUCGAGUGCGAAAAUCAACCCGUGCUGCUCCAACCGAUUCCCCUCCAGCUCCCCUCCCUCCGCGCGGGAGGCUGACGGGAGGCGAGGCCGGAUAGCUGAGCCGCCGCCGCGCCACGCCUCCUCUGGCUCCCCUCCCUCCGCAUGGGACGCCGACGGGAGGCGAGGCCGGAUACCUGGGCCGCCGCCGCGCCACGCCUCUUGCCGCGGGAGCUGAGACUCAGAGGAGGAGGACGACCAGUAGUGCGGCGGCGGCCAUGAGUUGGAGGAAGGGAGGGGGCGCAGAUUGCGUGGCUAGGAGCUGGGUGCUGCUGCUCUGCGUCGGGAGCUUCUGCCUCGGCCUGCUCUUCACGAACAGGUAACCAAUCAAUCAAUCCGGUGCCCGAUAGGAUGUUCAGAUUCGAGUAUAUUGGUGGCUCGUUCUGCAUAGUCCCGAGUAUUCGUAGGAUGGAUGCGGGUGAGAUCCGUGGUCUUCUGGUGAGCUCACUUCUACAUUUUGCGGGGAGCGGAUGCGGGUGAGAUCUCUCCAGGAUGUGGACAUUGCCUGAAGCAAGUGAGGUAGCUAUACCAAAUGAAAGAAGAGGGAAAGAGGUAGCUAUACCAAAUGAAAGAAGAGGGAAAGAGUCUAAGCUUAUGGCUGGAGACUGUAGUAUAACGAAAUUGUUUCUAAUUGCAGUAUACAAAAAGUAAUUUUUUUCUCUCUUUGAUUUGAUUCAGGGAAGCUUCUACGAAAUUGUUUCUAAUUGCAGUUGAGCUGGCUUCUUGCAGGACUUUAGGUAAGACAAUAGCAAAUCUGGAGACAGAACUCUCUGCUGCAAGAACUCUACAAGAUUAUUUUGGGGUGAAUCCAAAUCCGUUGUUUUGCUAUGCUGCCAAAGUUUCUGUGGUUCUUUCUAUUGCUUAUAGUACAUCUAAGAGAACAAAUUUUCUUUGAGAAAAGGAUCAUGGAUGAUGGCGUGAUGCUGCAGCUUCCGGUGGAUUUGAUCGAUAAGAUCCUGUCUCACAUCACCAAUCCUGCCUCCCUAGCAUGCUUCAACCUGCAAGUUUUGGCGUAAUAUCAUAAAGGGGAGAAGCUUCUUUCUUGAUUGCCUCAGGAAGCAUGCAUUGCAUUGAGUGAAGAAGCAACAAAAUGGCAUACAUAGAUCAUAUUUAUCCCUAAUCACCUUGAUUUGAAUGAAUUAAAUAACUUGCAGACAACUUAAAAGAUAAAUCAUUGUACAAGCUGUCGGUUUCACUAUCUAUAUGUGACUUACAGACGUCUAAACUGUUGAACAUACCCUAAAAUGCUUGGAGAGUACACCCCUCCCGCUCCAUUGAAAAGCCAAAAGCCACCCUUUCAACGUUCCCUAACGGUGCCGGUAUUCUAUACCAUUGCUGCAUGCUUCCAUCUUUUAAUUAAUACAAGAAAGAGGUUAGAAUUAUUGUGUUCAA